GUCCAGACUCCUACGGGAGGCAGCAGUGGGGAAUAUUGCACAAUGGGGGAAACCCUGAUGCAGCGACGCCGCGUGAGUGAAGAAGUAUUUCGGUAUGUAAAGCUCUAUCAGUAGGGAAGAAGAAGGACGGUACCUGAGUAAGAAGCCCCGGCUAACUACGUGCCAGCAGCCGCGGUAAUACGUAGGGGGCAAGCGUUAUCCGGAUUUACUGGGUGUAAAGGGAGCGUAGACGGCGAAGAAAGUCUGAAGUGAAAGCCCGCGGCUCAACCGCGGAAUGGCUUUGGAAACUUUUUUGCUGGAGUACCGGAGAGGUAAGCGGAAUUCCUAGUGUAGCGGUGAAAUGCGUAGAUAUCAGGAGGAACACCGGUGGCGAAGGCGGCUUACUGGACAGUGACUGACGUUGAGGCUCGAAAGCGUGGGGAGCGAACAGGAUUAGAUACCCUCGUAC
rnacentral:rRNA from 1 species